rnacentral:piRNA from 1 species
UGUUCACAAAAUUCAUUGAAA